rnacentral:rRNA from 1 species
UGGGGAAUAUUGGACAAUGGGCGAAAGCCUGAUCCAGCCAUGCCGCGUGUGUGAAGAAGGUCUUCGGAUUGUAAAGCACUUUAAGUUGGGAGGAAGGGCAUUUACCUAAUACGUAAGUGUUUUGACGUUACCGACAGAAUAAGCACCGGCUAACUCUGUGCCAGCAGCCGCGGUAAUACAGAGGGUGCAAGCGUUAAUCGGAAUUACUGGGCGUAAAGCGCGCGUAGGUGGUUUGUUAAGUUGGAUGUGAAAUCCUCGGGCUCAACCUGGGAACUGCAUUCAAAACUGACAAGCUAGAGUAUGGUAGAGGGUGGUGGAAUUUCCUGUGUAGCGGUGAAAUGCGUAGAUAUAGGAAGGAACACCAGUGGCGAAGGCGACCACCUGGACUGAUACUGACACUGAGGUGCGAAAGCGUGGGGAGCAAACAGGAUUAGAUACCCAUGUAGUCCCUGAGCGGGCUGGCAAGGCGCAU